CGGCGGACGGGUGAGUAACACGUGGAUAACCUACCUAUAAGACUGGGAUAACUUCGGUAAACCGGAGCUAAUACCGGAUAAUAUAUUGAACCGCAUGGUUCAAUAGUGAAAGACGGUUUUGCUGUCACUUAUAGAUGGAUCCGCGCCGCAUUAGCUAGUUGGUAAGGUAACGGCUUACCAAGGCAACGAUGCGUAGCCGACCUGAGAGGGUGAUCGGCCACACUGGAACUGAGACACGGUCCAGACUCCUACGGGAGGCAGCAGCC
rnacentral:rRNA from 1 species